AUUGAACGCUGGCGGCAGGCCUAACACAUGCAAGUCGAGCGAGCGGCGGACGGGUGAGAAAUGUAUGGGGACUGCCCGCUAGAGGGGGAUAACACCUGGAAAAGGUGGCUAAUACCGCAUACUGUCGGAUACUGCAUAUGGGAUUAGCUAGUAGGUAAGGUAAUGGCGUACCUAGGCGACGAUCCCUAGCUGGUCUCAGAGGAUGAUCAGCCACAUUGGGAAUGAGACACGGCCCAGACUCCUACGGAGGCAGCAGUGUGGAAUCUUCCGCAAUUGACGAAAGUCUGACGGAGCAACGCCGCGUGAGUGAUGACGGCCUUCGGGUUGUAAAGCUCUGUUAAUCGGGAGACGGUACCGGAAUAGAAAGCCACGGCUAACUACGUGCCAGCAGCCGCGGUAAUAC
rnacentral:rRNA from 1 species